GCUGGCACAGCCUUAGAGAGUCAAACUUUCCACUGCCCAGAUAGGGACACUGAGGCCUAGAGAGGGGCGGGAACUAUCUUGCUGGCACUUGCAGGCGAAGGCGAGAUGGCAGAAAGGGAAGGGAGACAAGGGGGAGGCGGCCUCUGGUGGCUAGUCCAGCGAGUGGCCCCUGGAAUUUUGUUCUGAGCCCGCCCAGAACCUCCGGCAGCCUGGGCCUGAACAAGGAGGUGGUUCUCUGCAGUCAGGGAGGCGGCUGUUGUGGAUUUCUGGAAGGGCUUGAGGCAGGCUCCCAGGUACUCUGGACACCCCAGCCCCCCACCCCGCUGCAGCCCUUUUUGCCCUAAAACACAGGACGGGUCCUCUCUGUGUGAUCUCAAGACGGGACUCCGAGAGGGACGGACAGGAAGGCAUCACAGACUCUGAGGGUCUUCCCUCGCUUGCCAACCCUGAGGCUCAGACAAGCUGAGAGUGGAAGAGGGCGAAGUGGGCCAGCCUGCCAAGCGUCCCAGGAAGAGGCCAUCGUCAGCCACCACCCCACGUGAUCGCUGGGAGCUCAGCGGCUUCCUGAGGGCCAGGACGCGCCCAGCUCCACCUGUGGGUAGAGCCGAGGGCCUUAGCACACUUCCUCCCCGUCCAGGGGGGCCCCAAUCCUCCCCUGGUCUGUUGUGCCCCAGCGUCCAGCGGAGUGAGGCCAAGAGCCUGGCCGCGUUGAGGAAGACUCCGGCAGGCGCUGCUCCCAGAACAAAGGGGAUGAAAGCGUUCUAAAGUUGACUGCGGUGAUGUCGCGCACUGAAUAUACUAAAAAUCACCGAACUGUACAUUUUAAAUAGGCGAAUUUUAUGGUAUGUGAA